ensembl:lncRNA
GCCCAAGUAUCAACAAAGUAAAACCUCUUCUGGCCAACAGCCAUCAAGGAACAGAGGUCUGCCAAUAACCAUAUUAGCCCUCAGCUAACUACUGCCAGUCCUCCUCUUUUUGCUGAGGAAGCCUGGCUCUGAGCUACCUUCCGUGCCCAUCUUCCUCUAGUUUAUACGUGGGACGCCUACCACAGCAUGGCAUGCCAAGCAGUGCCAUGUCCGCACCCGGGAUCUGAACCAGCGAACCCGGGGCUGCAGAGAAGCGGAACGUGCGAACUUAACCGCUGCGUCACCGGGCCGGCCCCUGAAUACAUUCUUUCUUGCUCCAGAGUUAUAUGCCCUGAGCUAACAUCUGCCGCCAAUUCUCCUCCUUUUGCUGAGGAAGACUGCCCUGAGCUAACAUCGUGCCCAUCUUCUUCUACUUCAUAUGUGGGAUGCCUAUCAUAGCAUGGCUUGACAAGCAGUACAUACGUCCACACCCAGGAUCCAAACCUGUGAACCCUGGGCCGCAGAGGGCGGAAGAUGUCAAUCAUAGGAGUUGACAUGUGGCCAACUGUGGCAUCCUAGCCCAGCUUAACAGCUAAAGAAGUCCUGAAGAAGAAAAUGCAUCUCACAAUAAGAUGAAACUAAAGAUGAAAGAGAGUGAUUUUUCUAACCCCUGUUUGAGCGAAGACUCCCCCACAACCUAAAAGAUCAAUCAUAUGGAAAACAGAAAGUUUUUCAGCACAAGGAUGACUUCUCAAUAGAGAAUGAAGAAAAAGUGCAGGAGAAGGAGACAUGUCCACCGUGCGAUGAAUGGAUUCUCAAGAAAAAAUAUAAAGUGCCUAGAAGAUAUUGCGGGUCCCCUUGCAGAACACUGCAAUAAAGUAAAUAUUGCAAUAAAGUGAUAAGGAAUAUAACUGAAGAGCUACCACAGAAAUGAAAAGAUUAUGAGGAAGUUGAAAAUUGCCUUGAACGCACUCAUAUAGUCUUGGUGGUUUGGACUGCUAGAGAGAUGAAAGGAAGCAUCAUGAACCUAGGAGAAGGUUCUAUUUAAAGAUAGCAGCCUGGAUGUGCAGCUGAUCCACUUCUACAUUUGAGAGAAGAUCUGAACAGCAAGAAUUAAAUGAUGGACCAUGUUUUCAAAGAUUUACAUCUGGAUUGUGAAAGGCAUUGAACCAAAUCCAGGGCUCAAAGCCAGAGUCUAGAUUUAAGAAAAUUUUCCUUGUCAAAGCAAGAGGGGUGGGCUAGCUUUUCCACGUGGGCGGGUGCGUUAAUUUAAUUUUAAAAGCGUUCUCAGUACUCUACCCCUCCCUCAGAGGCUCUGUGAAGCUCUCCCCUUCAAGUGGUGUAAUCUAUUUUGCCUGUCAGGCUGACCUUGUGACUUAUUUUGGCCGAUAGAAUGCGGUGAAAAUAAUGAUGUGCCAGACCCCACUAGACUUCAGUGGCCCCGUGUGCUUCCAUUGUCUCUCUCGGAACUCUGCGCCUGCCAUGUGAACAAACCCAGCUCAGCAGAUGGACCGGAAGAUCAUGUGGAAGAGGUCCCAGCUAUCCUUGCUGAGGCCAUCCUCAACCUGCCGGCAACCAGCUGAUUCUGAACCAUGUGAGAGAAUCCAGCCACGAUCUGCAGAACCAACUCUUCCCUACUGACAGCUGACCACAGGAAUGCGUGCCUGAGCCCAGCUGAGCCCAGAAGAACUGUCCUGCUGACCUAGAGACCCAUGAGCAAAGAUACACGCUUUUGACAUUAACUCACUGAAAUGUAGUUGGUUUGUUCCACAGCAGUAGCUAAACACACCGAAAGUUUUCCAAAGUAUGAAAAGUAUAUGAAGAGCCAGUGCAAAAUCAUUCCUGGGAAUCAGGCAGACAAGAGCUCAGUUCUGUGUCAAGGAUGCAUCUCUUAAGGGGAACCAAGGGUGUCUGCUAUCAUCCUGGUGGUUAUGUACUGAAAGAAAAAAGGACAAGUUAAGGGCUGGCCCAGUGGUGCAGCGGUUAAGUUCCCACAUUCCGCUUUGGCGACCCAGGGUUUGCAGGUUCGGAUCCUGGGCUUGGACCUACGCACCUCUGUCAAGCUGUGCUGUGGCAGGCGUCCCACAGAUAAAGUAGAGGAAUGGAUGUUAGCUCAGGGCCAGUCUUCCUCAGCAAAAGAGGAGGACUGGCAGCAGGUGUUAGCUCAGGGGUAAUCUUCCUCAAAAGAAACACGAAAACCCAAGUUAAAAGUGUAAGGGUAAACUGAUUUAGGGAUCAGAGUCCUGUAAGGCAUAAUUCUUUGUAGGAAUGGGCCAUAAUUCAGCAUAAGGAAAGUAAAGAAAAAGAGUUGCCUUCUCUUUUAGCAUUAAAAAGAAAUUGCAUCUCAAUUUGCUCAUUUUAUCAAUA